AUUGAACGCUGGCGGCACGCCUUACACAUGCAAGUCGAACGGUAACAGGUCUUCGGACGCUGACGAGUGGGGAACGGGUGAGUAAUACAUCGGAACGUGCCCAGUCGUGGGGGAUAACUACUCGAAAGAGUAGCUAAUACCGCAUACGAUCUGAGGAUGAAAGCGGGGGACCUUCGGGCCUCGCGCGAUUGGAGCGGCCGAUGGCAGAUUAGGUAGUUGGUGGGAUAAAAGCUUACCAAGCCGACGAUCUGUAGCUGGUCUGAGAGGACGACCAGCCACACUGGGACUGAGACACGGCCCAGACUCCUACGGGAGGCAGCAGUGGGGAAUUUUGGACAAUGGGCGAAAGCCUGAUCCAGCAAUGCCGCGUGCAGGAUGAAGGCCUUCGGGUUGUAAACUGCUUUUGUACGGAACGAAAAAGCUUCUCCUAAUACGAGAGGCCCAUGACGGUACCGUAAGAAUAAGCACCGGCUAACUACGUGCCAGCCGCCGCAGUAACAC
rnacentral:rRNA from 1 species